rnacentral:rRNA from 1 species
GGCAAGUCUGGUGCCAGCAGCCGCGGUAAUUCCAGCUCCAAUAGCGUAUAAUAAAGUUGUUGCAGUUAAAAAGCUCGUAGUUGAACUUCGGGAUUUGUCCAUUGGUCAGGCUUAACUGUCUGUACUGGUGUGACGAAUUCCUACCUUCUGAGGAAUUUUCAUGCCAUUAAGUUGGUGUGGGGAGGAAUCAGGACUGUUACUUUGAAAAAAUUAGAGUGUUUAAAGCAGGCUAACGUCUGAAUACAUUAGCAUGGAAUAACAAUAUAGGACGGCUGGUCCUAUUUUGUUGGUUUCUAGGAUCACCGUAAUGAUUAAUAGGGAUAGUUGGGGGCAUUAGUAUUCAAUUGUCAGAGGUGAAAUUCUUGGAUUUAUUGAAGACUAACUACUGCGAAAGCAUUUGCCAAGGAUGUUUUCAUUAAUCAAGAACGAAAGUGUAGGGGAUCGAAGACGAUCAGAUACCGUCGUAGUCUUAACCAUAAACUAUGCCGAAUAGGGAUACGGCAGAGGUGAAUU